rnacentral:rRNA from 1 species
CAGCAGCCACGGUAAUACGUAGGUGGCAAGCGCUGUCCGGAAUUAUUGGGCGUAAAGGGCUCGCAGGCGGUUUCUUAAGUCUGAUGUGAGAGCCCCCGGCUCAACCGGGGAGGGUCAUUGGAAACUGGGAAACUUGAGUGCAGAAGAGGAGAGUGGAAUUCCACGUGUAGCGGUGAAAUGCGUAGAGAUGUGGAGGAACACCAGUGGCGAAGGCGACUCUCUGGUCUGUAACUGACGCUGAGGAGCGAAAGCGUGGGGAGAGAACAGGAUUAGAGACCCCCGUAGUCCCUGUCUCUUAUAC